rnacentral:rRNA from 1 species
AAGUCGAACGCACAGCGAAAGGUGCUUGCACCUUUCAAGUGAGUGGCGAACGGGUGAGUAACACGUGGACAACCUGCCUCAAGGCUGGGGAUAACAUUUGGAAACAGAUGCUAAUACCGAAUAAAACUCAGUGUCGCAUGACACAAAGUUAAAAGGCGCUUUGGCGUCACCUAGAGAUGGAUCCGCGGUGCAUUAGUUAGUUGGUGGGGUAAAGGCCUACCAAGACAAUGAUGCAUAGCCGAGUUGAGAGACUGAUCGGCCACAUUGGGACUGAGACACGGCCCAAACUCCUACGGGAGGCUGCAGUAGGGAAUCUUCCACAAUGGGCGAAAGCCUGAUGGAGCAACGCCGCGUGUGUGAUGAAGGCUUUCGGGUCGUAAAGCACUGUUGUAUGGGAAGAACAGCUAGAAUAGGGAAUGAUUUUAGUUUGACGGUACCAUACCAGAAAGGGACGGCUAAAUACGUGCCAGCAGCCGCGGUAAUACGUAUGUCCCGAGCGUUAUCCGGAUUUAUUGGGCGUAAAGCGAGCGCAGACGGUUGAUUAAGUCUGAUGUGAAAGCCCGGAGCUCAACUCCGGAAUGGCAUUGGAAACUGGUUAACUUGAGUGCAGUAGAGGUAAGUGGAACUCCAUGUGUAGCGGUGGAAUGCGUAGAUAUAUGGAAGAACACCAGUGGCGAAGGCGGCUUACUGGACUGUAACUGACGUUGAGGCUCGAAAGUGUGGGUAGCAAACAGGAUUAGAUACCCUGGUAGUCCACACCGUAAACGAUGAACACUAGGUGUUAGGAGGUUUCCGCCUCUUAGUGCCGAAGCUAACGCAUUAAGUGUUCCGCCUGGGGAGUACGACCGCAAGGUUGAAACUCAAAGGAAUUGACGGGGACCCGCACAAGCGGUGGAGCAUGUGGUUUAAUUCGAAGCAACGCGAGAACCUUACCAGGUCUUGACAUCCUUUGAAGCUUUUAGAGAUAGAAGUGUUCUCUUCAGAGACAAGUGACAGGUGGUGCAUGGUCGUCGUCAGCUCGUGUCGUGAGAUGUGGGGUAAGUCCCGCAACGAGCGCAACCCUUAUGUAGUGCCAGCAUUCAGAUGGCACUCUAGCGAGACUGCGUGAC